GAUGAACGCUGGCGGCGUGCCUAAUACAUGCAAGUCGAGCGAACAGAUGAGGAGCUUGCUCCUCUGACGUUAGCGGCGGACGGGUGAGUAACACGUGGAUAACCUACCUAUAAGACUGGGAUAACUUCGGGAAACCGGAGCUAAUACCGGAUAAUAUAUUGAACCGCAUGGUUCAAUAGUGAAAGACGGUUUUGCUGUCACUUAUAGAUGAUCCGCGCCGCAUUAGCUAGUUGGUAAGGUAACGGCUUACCAAGGCAACGAUGCGUAGCCGACCUGAGAGGGUGAUCGGCCACACUGGAACUGAGACACGGUCCAGACUCCUACGGGAGGCAGCAGUAGGGAAUCUUCCGCAAUGGGCGAAAGCCUGACGGAGCAACGCCGCGUGAGUGAUGAAGGUCUUCGGAUCGUAAAACUCUGUUAUUAGGGAAGAACAAAUGUGUAAGUAACUAUGCACGUCUUGACGGUACCUAAUCAGAAAGCCACGGCUAACUACGUG
rnacentral:rRNA from 1 species